CGUGCCCCGCCGGUGUGAACGGGCUGUCUUGAUGUGGCAGAAUACGGGUAGAGGUACUCGGGUACGA
rnacentral:tRNA from 1 species